rnacentral:rRNA from 1 species
GCGGAAGGAUCAUUAGUGAACAUAGGACGUCCAACUUAACUUGGAGUCCGAACUCUCACUUUCUAACCCUGUGCAUUUGUUUGGGGUAGUAGCCUUUCGAGGCGAAUCCCUAUUCACUUAUAAACACAAAGUCUAUGAAUGUAUUUAAUUUUAUAACAAAAUAAAACUUUCAACAACGGAUCUCUUGGCUCUCGCAUCGAUGAAGAACGCAGCGAAAUGCGAUAAGUAAUGUGAAUUGCAGAAUUCAGUGAAUCAUCGAAUCUUUGAACGCACCUUGCGCUCCAUGGUAUUCCGUGGAGCAUGCCUGUUUGAGUGUCAUGAAUACUUCAACCCUCCUCUUUCUUUAUGAUCGAAGAGGUGUUUGGAUUCUGAGCGUUUUGCUGGCCUCGCGGUCGAGCUCGCUCGUAAUGCAUUAGCAUCCGCAAUCGAACUUCGGAUUGACUUGGCGUAAUAGACUAUUCGCUGAGGAAUUCUAGUCUUCGGACUAGAGCCGGGUUGGAUUAAAGGAAGCUCCUAAUCCUAAUGUCUAUUUUUAAGAUUAGAUCUCAAAUCAGGUAGGACUACCCGCUGAACUUAAGCAUAU